CAACUGGCUCACAAUACUUCUAUAUAAAAUAGAUAGCUCAACCGGCUCGCAAUAUUGUUGCUCUUUCCGCUAUAUCUUAACCAACGAAGCUCUCUUAGCUCUCUAGCUCUUCCGUUUCUCUCGAUGCAGCUCACUUGUAGCUUAAGGUAAUACUUCUGCUAAGUUUCAGUUAUUGGAAAGACUUGAGAAGUGAAUCCAAUGUUUAGAACAAUAAGCAGG
rnacentral:lncRNA from 1 species